GAUGGAACGUAGCGAAAUGCGAUAAGUAAUGUGAAUUGCAGAAUUCAGUGAAUCAUCGAGUCUUUGAACGCACAUUGCGCCCCCUGGUAUUCCGGGGGGCAUGCCUGUCCGAGCGUCAUUGCUGCCCUCAAGCACGGCUUGUGUGUUGGGCCUCCGUCCUCCUCCCGGGGGACGGGCCCGAAAGGCAGCGGCGGCACCGCGUCCGGUCCUCGAGCGUAUGGGGCUUCGUCACCCGCUCUUGUAGGCCCGGCCGGCGCUUGCCGACACAUCAAUCUUUUUUCCAGGUUGACCUCGGAUCAGGUAGGGAUACCCGCUGAACUUAAGCAUAUCAAUAAGCGGAGGA
rnacentral:misc_RNA from 1 species